AAAAAGCGAAGAUAAAAAUACAAGACGAGAAGACCCCAUGGAGCUUAAGACCAAAUAACACACCUCUUACUUUAAUCCUAAAAAAUAGGAAACCUGUUGCCUAGUCUUUGGCUGGGGCAUCCAAGGAGUAUAAUAUAACCUCCCUAACUAAAAUCUUAGAGCUACAACUCCAAGAAGCAGCAAACUGAUGUAAAUGACCCGAUUAUCGAUCAAUGAACCAAGUUACCCUGGGGAUAACAGCGCAAUCCAUUUUGAAAGCCCCUAUCGACGAAUGGGUUUACGACCUCGAUGUUGGAUCAGGGUACCCCAGUGGUGCAGCCGCUACUAAAGGUUCGUUUGUUCAACGAUUAAAACCCUACG
rnacentral:rRNA from 1 species